AACGAACGCUGGCGGUAGGCCUAACACAUGCAAGUCGAACGGCAGCACAGCAGUAGCAAUACUGUGGGUGGCGAGUGGCGGACGGGAGAGGAAUACAUCGGAAUCUACCUUUUCGUGGGGGAUAACGUAGGGAAACUUACGCUAAUACCGCAUAAGACCUUCGGUGAAAGCCGGGACCGUUCGGCCUGGCGCGGAUAGAU
rnacentral:rRNA from 1 species